GACGAACGCUGGCGGCGUGCUUAACACAUGCAAGUCGAGCGGUAAGGCCCUUUCGGGGGUACACGAGCGGCGAACGGGUGAGUAACACGUGGGUGACCUGCCCUCAGCUCUGGGAUAAGCCUGGGAAACUGGGUCUAAUACUGGAUAUGACUCCACGGUGCAUGUCGUGGGGUGGAAAGCCUUGUGCGGCUGAGGAUGGGCCCGCGGCCUAUCAGCUUGUUGUGGGGGAUGGCCUACCAAGGCGACGACGGGUAGCCGGCCUGAGAGGGCGACCGGCCACACUGGGACUGAGACACGGCCCAGACUCCUACGGGAGGCAGCAGUGGGGAAUCUUGCGCAAUGGGCGAAAGCCUGACGCAGCGACGCCGCGUGAGGGAUGACGGCCUGGUGUAACGU
rnacentral:rRNA from 1 species